rnacentral:tRNA from 6 species
GCCCCUGUAGCUCAGCGGAUAGAGCAACUGCCUUCUAAGCAGUGGGUCGUGGGUUCGAGUCCCGCCGGGGGCGCCA